rnacentral:rRNA from 1 species
GACGAACGCUGGCGGCGUGCCUAAUACAUGCAAGUAGAACGCACAGGAUGCACCGUAGUUUACUACACCGUAUUCUGUGAGUUGCGAACGGGUGAGUAACGCGCAGGUAACCUGCCUGGUAGCGGGGGAUAACUAUUGGAAACGAUAGCUAAUACCGCAUAAGAACAUUUACUGCAUGGUAGAUGUUUAAAAGGUGCAAAUGCAUCACUACCAGAUGGACCUGCGUUGUAUUAGCUAGUAGGUGAGGUAACGGCUCACCUAGGCGACGAUACAUAGCCGACCUGAGAGGGUGAUCGGCCACACUGGGACUGAGACACGGCCCAGACUCCUACGGGAGGCAGCAGUAGGGAAUCUUCGGCAAUGGGGGGAACCCUGACCGAGCAACGCCGCGUGAGUGAAGAAGGUUUUCGGAUCGUAAAGCUCUGUUGUUAAGGAAGAACGAGUGUGAGAAUGGAAAGUUCAUACUGUGACGGUACUUAACCAGAAAGGACGGCUA